rnacentral:tRNA from 1 species
GCGGGCGUGGCGGAAUUGGUAGACGCGCCAGGUUUAGGUCCUGGUGGCCAUUGGUCGUGGGGGUUCAAGUCCCUCCGCCCGCACCA